rnacentral:rRNA from 1 species
GAUGAAUGCUGGAGGCGUGCCUAAUACAUGCAAGUCGAGCGAACGGACGAGAAGCUUGCUUCUCUGAUGUUAGCGGCGGACGGGUGAGUAACACGUGGAUAACCUACCUAUAAGACUGGGAUAACUUCGGGAAACCGGAGCUAAUACCGGAUAAUAUUUUGAACCGCAUGGUUCAAAAGUGAAAGACGGUCUUGCUGUCACUUAUAGAUGGAUCCGCGCUGCAUUAGCUAGUUGGUAAGGUAACGGCUUACCAAGGCAACGAUGCAUAGCCGACCUGAGAGGGUGAUCGGCCACACUGGAACUGAGACACGGUCCAGACUCCUACGGGAGGCAGCAGUAGGGAAUCUUCCGCAAAGGGCGAAAGCCUGACGGAGCAACGCCGCGUGAGUGAUGAAGGUCUUCGGAUCGUAAAACUCUGUUAUUAGGGAAGAACAUAUGUGUAAGUAACUGUGCACAUCUUGACGGUACCUAAUCAGAAAGCCACGGCUAACUACGUG